rnacentral:rRNA from 1 species
UACGGAGGAUGCGAGCGUUAUCCGGAUUUAUUGGGCGUAAAGAGAACGCAGGCGGUCUUUUAAGUCUGAUGUGAAAGCCUUCGGCUUAACCGGAGUAGUGCAUUGGAAACUGGGAGACUUGAGUGCAGAAGAGGAGAGUGGAACUCCAUGUGUAGCGGUGAAAUGCGUAGAUAUAUGGAAGAACACCAGUGGCGAAAGCGGCUCUCUGGUCUGUAACUGACGCUGAGGUUCGAAAGCGUGGGUAGCAAACAGG